rnacentral:rRNA from 1 species
GCCAGACUCCUACGGGAGGCAGCAGUGAGGAAUAUUGGUCAAUGGCCGAGAGGCUGAACCAGCCAAGUCGCGUGAGGGAAGAAUGUCCUAUGGAUUGUAAACCUCUUUUGUCAGGGAGCAAAGUCACCCACGUGUGGGUGUUGGAGAGUACCUGAAGAAAAAGCAUCGGCUAACUCCGUGCCAGCAGCCGCGGUAAUACGGAGGAUGCGAGCGUUAUCCGGAUUUAUUGGGUUUAAAGGGUGCGUAGGCGGACGCUUAAGUCAGCGGUAAAAUUGCGGGGCUCAACCUCGUCGAGCCGUUGAAACUGGGGAUCUAGAGUGUGCGAGAGGUAUGCGGAAUGCGUGGUGUAGCGGUGAAAUGCAUAGAUAUCACGCAGAACCCCGAUUGCGAAGGCAGCAUACCGGUGCACAACUGACGCUCAGGCACGAAAGCGUGGGUAUCGAACAGGAUUAGAUACCCCUGUA